AGAGACAGAGACAGACAGAGAGAGAGAGAGAGAGAGAGAGAGAGAGAGAGAGAGAGAGAGAAACGUUCUUUUUGACCCCCUUUGCAUCUUGGUUUCUUCGUAAGCUUCUGAGCAUCCCAAACUAGCUAAGACCACCGCUUGCCUAGACUCCUUGCAGAGUCUGAGGAAAUUUGGCCUCGUUUUCCUAGGACUGGGGAAUGAGCUCCGGAGGUCAAUAAAGCCCUCCAAAAAUGAUGAAUGAUUGAGCACCUGUGAUGAUGAUAGUGAUUACCAGAGCAAUUAAACAGUUUGAUUAAAUGAGCCAUCAUAACAAUGAUGUCUGCGGGAAAUCGGCCCUCACAUAUAAAGACUGUGUGGAGGGGCUGGCAGAGGCGCGGAGAGCGCGCCGGGAGAGGGGCCUCGGCCCGCGCGGGGUUGACUCCGGUGGCCAAAGCAGGGACGGCGGACUCUGGGAGCAGACUCAAGCCUAGGCUUUCCGUCUCGGUUCCUCCCUGGCUUCAAGCCUAAGACGUCCGACCUUUCUGAAACCUGAAGGACCACAGGGUCCUUUCCCCCGCCCCCCCGUUUUUUUCUCCCUAGAAGAACUCCAAGAUUACAAAUAUCCACUUCAUUUGUCGCUGUUACUCGUCGACACAUAAGAAAAGGUCUGUUUGGACAUUCAAAGAAGCUACACAUACAAAGAUGGUUUGGCUCGGUGCCGUCAAUCCCAGCAUUAAAAAAGGUAAAAAAAAAAAAAAAAUCUGAGCGUCCCUAUACUCAUCCUUGCCUCGAAUAAAUAAUUAAGUAAGUAAAUAAACAAAGUGCGAGGCAAAAGAAAGUUUACUGCUUGCAUCUGUUGGUCGUCGUGCGCGCGUGUAUAAACAUCUUGGAGUCAGUGUUUGUACGUUAAUCUCCUCCCCACCCCCCCUCCCGGCAAGGGCGUGGAGAGAUCGCCCCCAGAGAGCCGUGUUUACUCGUUGUUUUUUUUUUUUUUUUAAAUCUCUGGGCUGUGUAUGACAAGUGUUACUUGAAGAAAUUCAUCGGCCUUCUCGAGAUGCUUCCAGGUUUGCUGUAAUGAUCUGCAGAAGAGAACCGCCACCACUUUCCCACAUCCCAAGGUGUUGGCGGAACUAGAGCGAGGGGGAGAGUGACUGCCAGGCUUAAUUGCGGAGGGGAGGGCGGGGUGCCUCCCGGGAUCCGAACCCGGGCGGGGGUUGGGGAGGUAAGAUGCAACCCAGGAAGGGUCUUUCUGAACGCUGAAGUCGCCAGUUGGAGAAUAUUUGGACAAGGUAUGAUUGCCUUAUUCCCCCCCCCAUCUCAAUGCCUUUGGGGAGAAGUGAUACCCUUGUGUAACAAUUAGCUCAGACAAUAAAAAUAAUUGGAAAAUCA